AUUGAACGCUGGCGGCAGGCCUAACACAUGCAAGUCGAACGAGUGGCGGACGGGUGAGUAAUGUCUGGGAAACUGCCUGAUGGAGGGGGAUAACUACUGGAAACGGUAGCUGCUACCGCAUACCAUCGGAUGUGCCCAGAUGGGAUUAGCUUGUAGGUGGGGUAACGGCUCACCAAGGCGACGAUCCCUAGCUGGUCUGAGAGGAUGACCAGCCACACUGGAACUGAGACACGGUCCAGACUCCUACGGGAGGCAGCAGUGGGGAAUAUUGCACAAUGGGCGCAAGCCUGAUGCAGCCAUGCCGCGUGUAUGAAGAAGGCCUUCGGGUUGUAAAGUACUUUCAGCGGGGAGGCGUUACCCGCAGAAGAAGCACCGGCUAACUCCGUGCCAGCAGCCGCGGUAAUUC
rnacentral:rRNA from 1 species